rnacentral:rRNA from 1 species
UACGAAGGGGGCUAGCGUUGUUCGGAAUUACUGGGCGUAAAGCGCACGUAGGCGGGUUGUUAAGUCAGGGGUGAAGUCCCGGAGCUCAACUCCGGAACUGCCUUUGAUACUGGCAAUCUAGAGACUGGAAGAGGUUAGUGGAAUUCCCAGUGUAGAGGUGAAAUUCGUAGAUAUUGGGAAGAACACCAGUGGCGAAGGCGGCUAACUGGUCCAGUACUGACGCUGAGGUGCGAAAGCGUGGGGAGCAAACAGG